rnacentral:lncRNA from 1 species
UGUAUUAUGACAAAUAACUCAGCAGGAAUGUGAACAAAAGUUUCCGGGAUUGUGUGUUAUUUCCAUUCAGUAUGUUAAAUUUACUAGGGCAGCUAAUUUGUCAAAAAGUCUUUUUCAGUAUAUGUUACAGAAUUGGAUGGCUGAAUUUAAACAGAUCCUUCGAGAAUUGAGACUUCAGGUCAACUCCACGCGCUUGGACCUGUCGCUGACCAAAGGAUUACCCAAUUGGAUCUCCUCAGCAUUUUCUUUCUUUAAAAAAUUGGGUGGGAUUAAUAUUAUUUGGAGAUACACUUUGCUGUGGAUUAGUGUUGCUUCUUUGAUUGGUCUGUAAGCUUAAGGCCCAAACUAAGAGAGACAAGGUGGUUAUUGCCCAGGCGCUUGCAGGACUAGAACAUGGAGCUUCCCCUGAUAUAUCUAUGCUUAAGCAAUAGGUCGCUGGCCACUCAGCUCUUAUAUCUCACGAGGCUAGUCUCAUUGCACGAGAUAGAGUGAGUGUGCUUCAGCAGCCCGAGAGAGUUGCAAGGCUAAGCACUGCAAUGGAAAGGCUCUGCGGCAUAUAUGAGCCUAUUCUAGGGAGACAUGUCAUCUUUCAUGAAGGUUCAGUGUCCUAGUUCCCUUCCCCCAGGCAAAACGACACGGGAGCAGGUCAGGGUUGCUCUGGGUAAAAGCCUGUGAGCCUAAGAGCUAAUCCUGUACAUGGCUCCUUUACCUACACACUGGGGAUUUGACCUCUAUCUCCACUCUCAUUAAUAUGGGUGGCCUAUUUGCUCUUAUUAAAAGAAAAAGGGGGAACUGUGGGAAGCCGCCCCCACAUUCGCCGUCACAAGAUGGCGCUGACAUCCUGUGUUCUAAGUUGGUAAACAAAUAAUCUGCGCAUGAGCCAAGGGUAUUUACGACUACUUGUACUCUGUUUUUCCCGUGAACGUCAGCUCGGCCAUGGGCUGCAGCCAAUCAGGGAGUGAUGCGCCCUAGGCAAUGGUUGUUCUCUUUAAAAUAGAAGGGGUUUCGUUUUUCUCUCUCUCUUGCUUUUCUCUCUCUCUUGCUUCUUGCUCUCUUGCUUCUUGCUCUCUUUUCCUGAAGAUGUAAGAAUAAAGCUUUGCC